GGAAACCGGUGAAAUUCCGGUGCGGUCGCGCCACUGUGAUCAGGAUGAGGAUACCUCAGACUGGAAGUCAGAC
rnacentral:sRNA from 12 species